GCUAUUCUCUUUAUUUACCGGAAGAGGAGGCGACCCUCUCCUCUUUGACCAUCUACUAGGCGACAAGAACCCUAUUUCCUCGCCUUUCCUUUCUCUUUUAGGUUUGGUUUCUGUCCUUGUUUAGGUUUGGGUUCCGCACUACAAGGGCAUCUCCAUCACCGCCGCCGCAUCCAUUUCGAUCAUGAAUCGUGAGAAGCUUAUCAAGAUGGCUGGUGCAAAAGGCAGUAUGCGCUGGUUUAUUAGAUAUAUUUAUAUUCUGGAGUAUCAUUUUCUUUGGAUCUGUUAAGUUUAUCAUGAUUCAUUAUUUCAUUCUUUGGGAUACAUGAUAUUUCUUUCCUGCAUUCUAGCCUAUAUAAUCCUUAUAAUAUCUAUAAUACUAAGCAUGUAACAUGCUGAAUCAUUUUGUUGUGGUAUGGUCCUGAGGUUAUAUCCUUCUGACCAUAGACAAUUCUCCAAUCAAGGAAUACUUUAAAACCUUGAAUGUGAAGAAAUGUUUCUGUUAUUA